CCUUCACUGUAAGGCCAGGGCAGGCAGAGAGGAAGACAUGAGGAACAGAGAUGGACAUGGGAGGCAGAGCUGGGGCACGGACAGCGAGCCCCAUACAGGAAGAGCCAAGAGAACAACAUGGAAAUCCAGAGGACACGUGGUACUGCCUUCUUCAGAUGCUCCGCUGAGUGAGGAGGCCGCUGAUUCCGGAUCUGAGGCCUCGCCCCCAGCCCCACCCCGGCUGUCCCCCUCAACCCGCCUGGGCCCAGGCUUCACCCGGCAGUGGUCCUCUGGAAAGAGGUAGAGAGAGAGAGACCCGUACACAUGAACUUCCAGAACAGAAGGGAGAAGGAGGCAAGAGGCUGUCUGCAAGAUUGGGAUAGAUGUCACAUCAUAUACAGGUCCCCAGGAAGCGGGGGGGGGGGGCCUCAACGGGGCUGGAGCCCCCAAGGAGACGAACAGACAAUACAGCAUAGACGUUGCAGUCCUUAGCAAGAGGGCUGAGAGCAUUUGGGGGCGGAGAUCACAGGUGGAGCGUGGGUUCAUGCCCCUCAGACUCCUAAGCUCUAUGGCAAGAGAUCUGCGGGAAGGGCUGAGAGAACCAAGACCGGACCAGACACCUCAGAGAGUCUGUGACUCUAGACUCCCAUGGUGGAGGAGCAGUUUUGCGGGGACUCAGUGGGACCUCCAGAAGAGUAGACACUAAAAAUCUGGGAUGCAAGCAAGGCCUUGGUUGAGGUGGGGGAUUCAGACCCUGAGAGAAAUCCCGGGCUCUGGGUCCAGUGGGCUGGGGGGAUGUCCAGUGUGGGGGUUUUCACUGAGAAAGUCCAGAAGGCCCUGAGCCGAGGCUUCCUAGGUAGGUUCCCAUCUGCGUGGCGAGCAAUGGGAGGUCCCAGCAACCCAGGCCACAGGUGGUCCAGAGCAGAGGGGUCCCCAGUAACACACAUGUUGAAAAAAAAGACCCCUUUCCCAGGCUAUCAGGUGAAUCACAGGGGACUAUGGGGACCUGCGGGGGGAGAGCCAGCCAGGGGCUGAACAUCGUGUGGAGGGGAGCAGAAGCUGGACUCUCCAAAACAGGCUGUUAAGAUUUGAAAAAGGAAAGCCCUGACCAUCCCUGGCUGGGACUGGCCACAAGAUUCUGCCCAUCAGCAGUGGCAGGAGUUGAGCAGGAAGGAAGCUGAUCCUGGGGUCCUAGAAACAGCUUUGGGAGUACGGAAAGAUCCCCACUGGACCACCAAAGAAUGAAAGCAGAAAAGGGUUCUGUAUCCCGGAGAAGGGCCACAGCCUAGUGUCAGGGCCCCGAAGUGAGGCGAGGGACUCUGCUCACGUGCCCCACCUGCAUCCACGCGGGCUGAGGAGAUAAACUUGUCCAGCUGA